GAGGAUCCGAGCGUUAUCCGGAUUUAUUGGGUUUAAAGGGAGCGUAGAUGGGGCUUUAAGUCAGCGGUAAAAUGUCGGUGCUCAACGCCGGCCGGCCGUUGAAACUGAGGUUCUUGAGUGAGCGAGAAGUAUGCGGAAUGCGUGGUGUAGCGGUGAAAUGCAUAGAUAUCACGCAGAACUCCGAUUGCGAAGGCAGCAUACCGGCGCUCAACUGACGCUGAGGCACGAAAGCGUGGGGAUCG
rnacentral:rRNA from 1 species